rnacentral:rRNA from 1 species
AACGAACGCUGGCGGCAGGCCUAACACAUGCGAGUCGAGCGCGCCCUUCGGGGUGAGCGGCGGACGGGUGAGUAACGCGUGGGAACGUGCCCUUUUCUACGGAAUAGCCUCGGGAAACUGAGAGUAAUACCGUAUACGCCCUUUGGGGGAAAGAUUUAUCGGAAAAGGAUCGGCCCGCGUUGGAUUAGGUAGUUGGUGGGGUAAUGGCCUACCAAGCCGACGAUCCAUAGCUGGUUUGAGAGGAUGAUCAGCCACACUGGGACUGAGACACGGCCCAGACUCCUACGGGAGGCAGCAGUGGGGAAUCUUAGACAAUGGGGGCAACCCUGAUCGAGCCAUGCCGCGUGAGUGAUGAAGGCCUUAGGGUUGUAAAGCUCUUUCAGCUGGGAAGAUAAUGACGGUACCAGCAGAAGAAGCCCCGGCUAACUCCGUG